GAUGAACGCUAGCGGCAGGCCUAACACAUGCAAGUCGAGGGAGAAGCCCUUUCGGGGGUAGAAACCGGCGCACGGGUGCGUAACGCGUAUGCAACCUACCUUUCACAGGGGGAUAGCCCGAAGAAAUUUGGAUUAAUACCCCAUAAUAUUAUUGGAUGGCAUCAUUUGAUAAUUAAAACUGCGGUGGUGAAAGAUGGGCAUGCGUCCUAUUAGCUAGUUGGAGUGGUAACGGCACCCCAAGGCUACGAUAGGUAGGGGUCCUGAGAGGGAGAUCCCCCACACUGGUACUGAGACAGGGACCAGACUCCUACGGGAGGCAGCAGUGAGGAAUAUUGGUCAAUGGUCGGAAGACUGAACCAGCCAUGCCGCGUGCAGGAAGAAUGCCUUAUGGGUUGUAAACUGCUUUUAUAUGGGAAGAAUAAGGCGUACGUGUACGUUGAUGACGGUACCAUAUGAAUAAAGCAU
rnacentral:rRNA from 1 species